rnacentral:rRNA from 1 species
AGGACGAACGCUGGCGGCGUGCCUAACACAUGCAAGUCGAACGGGACCAGGGGCAACUCUGGUUCAGUGGCGGACGGGUGCGUAACACGUGAGGAACAUGACCUUCGGCGGGGGAUAGCCGGCCCAACGGCCGGGUAAUACCGCGUACGACCACUCGGGGACAUCCCUAGGUGGUGAAAGCAGCAAUGCGCCGAUGGAGUGCCUCGCGGCCUAUCAGCUAGUUGGUGAGGUAACGGCUCACCAAGGCGACGACGGGUAGC